rnacentral:rRNA from 1 species
AUACGGGGGGUGCAAGCGUUAAUCGGAUUUACUGGGCGUAAAGAGAGUGUAGGUUGUUUAUUAAGUCGGAUGUGAAAUCCCGGGGCUCAACCUCGGAACUGCAUUCGAUACUGGUAGACUAGAGUUCGGGAGGGGUAAGCGGAAUUCCGUGUGUAGCAGUGAAAUGCGUAGAUAUACGGAGGAACACCUGAGGCGAAGGCGGCUUACUGGACCGAUACUGACACUGAGACUCGAAAGCGUGGGUAGCAAACAGGAUUAGAAACCCCAGUAGUCC